rnacentral:lncRNA from 13 species
GUGUGUGGUAGUCCAACAGCAUGAGAGACAGGGGUUUAAGCAAGAAACAUUUUACUUUAAUAAACUAUUUAAAUGUGAUUUAUUAGGAUCCCCUUUAGCCGACGCCAAUGACGACCGCUCGUCUUACUGGGGUCGGACACGUAAAGAAAAGAUAUUACAGACAAAAUACUUUACAAUUCACAUAUUUAAAAACAUGAAGUGUUUGUGUGCAUCGAUCAGUUCCACAUACAUGUCAGUACGUACACACAACAAGUCGGUCACAUGGAGGAGAGGCGUUGUGCUUUAUUCGUUUUUUGAAACAAGGAGUAACUCAAACGGGAAAAUGCAUCUCGGAAUGACAACUUUGGGGGAAACUAGGAGAGCUGCCUCUUACCCCACACAGUCUUCUCCUAUGCAAUGGAGUUGCCUCUUACCCCACGCAGUCUUCUCCUAUGCAAUGGAGCUGCUUCUUAGCCCACGCAGUCUUCUCCUAUGCAAUGGAGUUGCCUCUUAGCCCACGCAGUCUUCUCCUAUGCAGGGGGAGUUGCCUCUUACCCUACACAACAGUCUUCUUCUAUGCAGGGGAGCUCACUCUUACCCCACGCAGUCUUCUCCUAUACAGGGGAGUUGCCUCUUACCCUACAGUCUUCUUCUAUGCAGGGGCGCUCACUCUUACCCCACACAGUCUUUUCCUAUGCAUGGGGCGCUCACUCUUACCCCACACAGUCUUUUCCUAUGCAUGGGGAGCUGCCUCUUACCCCACACAGUCUUCUCUUAUGCAGGGGAGCUAAUGUAGCACAUGGGGAUGUGUGAAGCCCCAGACUGAAGUGUCCCCAACCUGAAGUGUCCCCAGCCUGAAGUGUCCCCACUUGCGCCGCCGAAUAACUAGCUUUUCACAUGUAGCAACUGGCAAGACACUUCGGGAGGGAGGUCACGUGCUAGUAAAGCAGAGGUCCUGGUUCCGAGCCUCGGUGUGAGCCCAAUCAGGAGGAAGUGGUACCUGCUAAGCACCGUGACAUCCAUUAUACUAACCCCUAACCCCUGUAAAGCUGUUUGUGGCUGCUGUGCCAGGAGUCUACUAAACGUAGCUCACAGCAAUAGCACCCACUAGAGCUUUUACUAGCAGUUCCACUCUUGUGUUGGCAACCCUUGAUUGCAGCCAGGUGUCAGGGCUCCACAUCUGCAGUCAAUAAGAUGAUUAAUUCACCAGAAAACCACACCCCUGGCUACGUCCCAAUUCUCCCAAAUAGUGGCUACAUCCCACUUCUCCCAAACAGUGGCUAAGGAGGGUGUGAGAGGCACUUCCCUAUCCACACACCCCUCAAGAUGCCUCAACUGAAUGUGGAAUAAGGCCAAUUCUAUUUGAUCCGGGAAUUAGUGCGCUUGACAUUUACAGGUAAUUUCAGAUUGAGCCGACAUAUGCAGUGUUUACCAUGAAUGUGGUCUCCACGAACAUUGCCUGUAAAAGGUGCAUAGCUGAAAAGGGGGAUAUGGGAUGAAAUACCGGCCUAAAUGCAUUAACUGAGUCACUAUAAAUAAGGACAUCUACUAAAUAUUAUUGCCGUUAUAUUUGAUCCAACGUUGGGAUGUUCCUUCCUUCUCCGUGUUAUUUUGCUUCUUUUAAUAUGCUGUCAUCCAGCCAAUUAUCACGUUUUAAGACAAUGAGACUCUGUGACCUUUAC